UGCAAGUCGACGCUUUGUGGUUCAACUGAUUUGAAGAGCUUGCUCAGAUAUGACGAUGGACAUUGCAAAGAGUGGCGAACGGGUGAGUAACACGUGGGAAACCUACCUCUUAGCAGGGGAUAACAUUUGGAAACAGAUGCUAAUACCGUAUAACAAUAGCAACCGCAUGGUUGCUACUUAAAAGAUGGUUCUGCUAUCACUAAGAGAUGGUCCCGCGGUGCAUUAGUUAGUUGGUGAGGUAAUGGCUCACCAAGACGAUGAUGCAUAGCCGAGUUGAGAGACUGAUCGGCCACAAUGGGACUGAGACACGGCCCAUACUCCUACGGGAGGCAGCAGUAGGGAAUCUUCCACAAUGGGCGAAAGCCUGAUGGAGCAACGCCGCGUGUGUGAUGAAGGGUUUCGGCUCGUAAAACACUGUUGUAAGAGAAGAAUGACAUUGAGAGUAACUGUUCAAUGUGUGACGGUAUCUUACCAGAAAGGAACGGCUAAAUACGUGCCAGCAGCCGCGGUAAUACGUAUGUUCCAAGCGUUAUCCGGAUUUAUUGGGCGUAAAGCGAGCGCAGACGGUUAUUUAAGUCUGAAGUGAAAGCCCUCAGCUCAACUGAGGAAUUGCUUUGGAAACUGGAUGACUUGAGUGCAGUAGAGGAAAGUGGAACUCCAUGUGUAGCGGUGAAAUGCGUAGAUAUAUGGAAGAACACCAGU
rnacentral:rRNA from 1 species